GCUAAUACCGCAUAAGCGCACAGCUUCGCAUGAAGCAGUGUGAAAAACUCYGGUGGUAUACGAUGGAUCCGCGUCUGAUUAGCUGGUUGGCGGGGUAAAGGCCCACCAAGGCGACGAUCAGUAGCCGGCCUGAGAGGGUGAACGGCCACAUUGGGACUGAGACACGGCCCAAACUCCUACGGGAGGCAGCAGUGGGGAAUAUUGCACAAUGGGGGAAACCCUGAUGCAGCGACGCCGCGUGAGUGAAGAAGUAUYUCGGUACGUAAAGCUCUAUCAGCAGGGAAGAAAAUGACGGUACCUGACUAAGAAGCCCCGGCUAACUACGUGCCAGCAGCCGCGGUAAUACGUAGGGGGCAAGCGUUAUCCGGAUUUACUGGGUGUAAAGGGAGCGUAGACGGCAGCGCAAGUCUGGAGUGAAAUGCCRKGGCYYAACCNYGGAACUGCUUUGGAAACUGUGCAGCUCGAGUGCAGGAGAGGUAAGCGGAAUUCCUAGUGUAGCGGUGAAAUGCGUAGAUAUUAGGAGGAACACCAGUGGCGAAGGCGGCUUACUGGACUGUAACUGACGUUGAGGCUCGAAAGCGUGGGGAGCAAACAGGAUUAGAUACCCUGGUAGUCCACGCCGUAAACGAUGAUUACUAGGUGU
rnacentral:rRNA from 1 species